rnacentral:SRP_RNA from 1 species
UUCCGGUCCCUUCGCAAUGAGAAACUGCGAACCCCGCCAGGCCCGGAAGGGAGCAACGGUAGCAGUGACGUCAUGUGCCGAAGGUGUUGCUGGUCGGG